rnacentral:lncRNA from 1 species
CUGAUCGGUCAAGAAUCCUGCUGGAUGAAAGAAAGAGACGCUUAGAAGUGACCAGAGAGGUGGUCUGGCCAAACCCUCAUUUGAUGAGGAACCUGAGGCACAGGGAGGCAACAGACUGGCCUGUAGUUUCAUUGCUAACUGACAGCAGAUCAGGAGACAAGGUCUUUUGCACAUGUCCCAUCACCCCUGGCAUAUCAGAUAUGUGGUGUGUAUGCUACUAUUCAGCUGCCUUCCUGGACCAAGGCAGAGUUUUCUCCAUCAUUCAUCAAACAGACUCUAGGCCCCGACUAAUCAGUUGGAUUUGGCCUAUGGGAUGAAACAAUUAGCCAUCCAUGCACAACAUCGUGCUUACUGCCUCCCAAGGAAUCUCUAGUCCCCAAGAGUAUGUAUUUGCACACUGAAAGGCCCAGAGAGGGCAUUCAUGGCAGCUUGAGCCCCUUGGCACCAUGCAAGGAACAGGGCAUCCAAACUGCUUCUGGAGAGCUCUUUGGAAAUGUCUUCUUUUUUACUUCUAGUUGUUUAGUGUCUUAUUUAUUUAUUCUUGCGUGACCUUGUUUGAAAUCUCAAAAGUGAUGAUAAAGCAAAAAAAAUAUCCUUAAGGUUAGGUGGCUGAGACCAUUUGCUCUGGACCACUGCUGUUAGCUGUGCCUCCUGUUGACUGGCUUUGCUGUGUUGGGCCUGAAGCUCCAGCAGGUGGCUAGACUGCUGGCCUAUUCCCAACAAACUAUUUUGAGCUUUGAGGUGGGAGUUUGGGUUGUUGGACCCUAUCUCUGGUAAAGGUUUCUCUGUGGCUCUGUAUGUUCUCAGGCCCUGGGGGAGGCCAGCCUCCCCAAUAACUCUUCGUUAUUAUGGAGCUGAUUUUCUAGUUUGUGGAUCAGCCAUGCCUUUGGACACUCCUCUUUUCCAUUGUGCCUUUUGAUUGUUGGCUUCUCCUCUACAUCAGCACAGCACUUCCCCCUAAAUGCAGAUUAGGGAGUUGGAAAAAGGAACUAGAGUGAAACACUUAUUCAUUCAGUCAUUCAGUCAUCUAUCAAACAUGGCUUUGAACAUCAAGGUUGCAGAGAUCAAGCAUACAUGGAUUCCAUCUUUGA